rnacentral:rRNA from 1 species
AGGGUUUGAUCAUGGCUCAGAAUGAACGCUGGCGGCAUGCCUAACACAUGCAAGUCGAACGAGAUCUUCGGAUCUAGUGGCGCACGGGUGAGUAACGCGUGGGAACCUACCUUUUAGUACGGGACAACGUUUGGAAACGGACGCUAAUACCGUAUACGCCCUCCGGGGGAAAGGUCAGCCGCUAAAAGAGGGGCCCGCGUCUGAUUAGCUUGUUGGUAAGGUAAUGGCUUACCAAGGCUACGAUCAGUAGCUGGUCUGGGAGGAUGAUCAGCCACACUGGGACUGAGACACGGCCCAGACUCCUACGGGAGGCAGCAGUGGGGAAUAUUGGACAAUGGAGGCAACUCUGAUCCAGCAAUGCCGCGUGUGUGAUGAAGGCCCUAGGGUUGUAAAGCACUUUCAACGGUGAAGAUGAUGACGGUAGCCGUAGAAGAAGCCCCGGCUAACUUCGUGCCAGCCGCCGCGGUAAUUC